ACAGCCACAUCAAAAUGAAGUACCAGUUCCCAUACAAUCACCAAAGUCAAGCAAUGUUGAGCCUGGUCAGUAUGUAGAUGGGUGACCCUUUGUGAAUACCAGGUGCUGUAAG